UGUCGUGAGGUGGGGAUGGCUACGCUCGUCCGCGGCGUCAGCCGCUGAGGUCAGUCCGCUGUACCAGCGUGUGUGACGGCGAUCACCGCUCCUGCAAGGGGCGAUGGCAAGCGGCUGCGAGUGAGGCUCGAUGUGAAGCGCCCUUGGGUGUUGUCGCCGCUGGCACUGGUGGCACGACUUCCCCGCGACGAAGGGCAGCUCUCGCCGUUGGUGGAACGAAAUCGUGAGAAGGAAGGCGUAGUGUCGCGCAAGACGGGCUGUGUGGAGACUAUGGCUACAAUAUGGCGCCUGAGUAGCGAGCGUCGUCUGUAUGGAAACGAAGCGCUGCAUGAGCGGAGGUCUGUCUGCGGUGGCUGCUGGGAUCGCGCCCACGCGUCGCCCACGUUCUGCCUCUCGCGAUCUUCCGAUUAGCGAGGCAGUCGCGCCACACUUCGAUCCAUUUGGAACGUGCCGCACGAGACAGAUUAUCUCCGCCAGCCAAUACAUCGCGAAAUGAAAGCACGUAUGCAGCUGCGCUCAAACUUCGCAUUAGCGAGUAUCGUAAUCGUCGGUGAACUUUUUCCCUUUCUAAUUCAUUCUUUCUCAUUUUUGUAAGCCCUGCGCGCGACGGCAGCGGUCUCGAACGGGGUUUCAAUUAGCACUACUGAUGGCUGACAGAAAUGACCACGUAUAUGUAACAAGGCGGGGGCGUAGCCUAUGGCUGGUACGAUCAAGUAGCCUACUUUCUUUCUUUUCUUGUUUUUUUAGGCUUCACUUUAAUUGCAUCUCUUAUCGCCACGCUUACCCGAUGCGCAAUAGACCUCUCCCGGCCUACGUCACGACGGGUCGGUCACGUCAUCUUCGGAUUCAUGCGGGCGUGUUCGGCGAGCGAAAAUCGCCGCCGAACGCACGUUGGCAGCCGCUGACAGUUUCGAGUAUCGCGGUCGCUCUUUAUUUUUUGGUGUGUUUCGUGCGCGUCGGUUUGUCAUGCCGCAAGUUGUUGCUCAGUGGGAUGCCUAAAUCGCAUGAAAAAAAGGUUGUGGGAUCGGUUUUUUUCCCCCGCUUCCGAAGAGACGAGAUGCAGCCACAAACGUGGGUGCUUGCAAUGCUCUGUGACAAGUGACAGCCAUCAGACGCCGAGACAGAAUCUGCGGAUUUCGCUCGACCAGUGUUCGUUCUUGGUGACCCCUACCAGUGAUUCUGCUGCAAGACUUAGCAAGAGUAUGCAAACGAGCUAUUACGCGUGACGUAGCGCACGGCAUUCAUCGGCGAAAGGCGGAGGCAAAUUGGAGGAAGCAAAUUCAAGUCGUGGGCGAACAAAAGGAAGGGGCCUUUCGAACAGACAAGCGCGCUGAGUAGAUGACGUGCUGAAGAUCGUUUCUGCGAAGUAUCAAACCACUGCACGGCACAAAGACAGCUGAAAUUUCUGCCAGAGGGCCAAGGUCACGGGCAUAAACGCCUCUACGUCAGACGCA